GACGAACGCUGGCGGCGUGCCUAAUACAUGCCAGUCGAGCGGACGAUUCGAAUGCUUGCUUUUGAAUCGUUAGCGGCGGACGGGUGAGUAACACGUGGGCAACCUGCCCUGUAGACGGGGAUAACACCGAGAAAUCGGUGCUAAUACCGGAUAACAUGAAAUAUCGCAUGACGCUUCGUUGAAAGGCGGCUCAAGCGUCCGCUACAGGUUGAGCCCGCGGCGCAUUAGCUAGUUGGUGAGGUAACGGCUCACCAAGGCGACGAUGCGUAGCCGACCUGAGAGGGUGAUCGGCCACACUGGGACUGAGACACGGCCCAGACUCCUACGGGAGGCAGCAGUAGGGAAUCUUCCGCAAUGGACGAAAGUCUGACGGAGCAACGCCGCGUGAGCGAAGAAGGUCUUCGGGUCGUAAAGCUCUGUUGUUAGGGAAGAACAAGUAACGUAGUAACUGACGUUACUAUGACGGUACCUAACGAGAAAGCCACGGCUAACUACGUG
rnacentral:rRNA from 1 species